CCGUGCUGUGGAAGGCGGCCACUCCGUUUGUCCCUUUCAGGGUCUCCGUGUGGAUUCUCCCCCAGGAAGGCCCUGGGCCCUGAUGGGUCAGCGACAGCACCCUAGCUUCCCUUCCUCUCUGGGGGGGCUCCGAGUUGGGCCAGGUUUUCUGUCACAGUCUGGUCUGUGCUCCCCAGGGCCCAGCUGGUACUGCUCACAUUUCUGUCUUGCUUCCCUCAAAAGGUGGGGGCUAGAAGCAUAGGGUGGUGUCCGGGGUCUUGGCUCACGUGUGCCUCGGCUGCUCUUGGCCCCACCUCCAGGGCUGGACCAUGGGUCCUAGAGCCACUGCACCUGCGCCAGCCCCUCUGCAGGGUCCUCCAGAAGCCCCUCGGGGCCCUGGCCUUUCCAGACGCACUUCCUAGUUUUCAGCGCUGAUAUGGUUUUCCCCUAAAUGUAGUUUUCCUGUCAUUCCAGGAGAGACAGGAGCGUAAGUCAGUCCAUGGCUGGACCCAGACAGCCAUCCUCAAACUUGUUCCAGACCGGGGAGGGCCCGAGGCCCCUGGUCCUCUCGGUCUGGUGUGUCCUGGCCCAGGCACUUCUGUGUUCCAUGUGUCCUGGGACAGCUAUCGGCCGGGCUUCUGUGUUGAAGUGGCCACGGGGCAGAGGGCCUGGGGUGGGGCAGGCACUUCUGCACGAGGAGUCCCCGUGGGCAGGUGCUGUUUCUUAAACUCUCCUUUCUCAUCUGCUUUGUGAGCAGUUAUCAGUCAUGCUCACUGCUCUUCCCUCCUCUGAUUUCACUGUUCCUUCUGCUCAGCCCCACCCUUUGCUGCUAGAGCCCUUCCAGGCCAGGGCGUGUCUCACGCAGAGAUGGGACGGGUGGCCAGAGGGCUUACCAGCUGCCGGGCCCCUCCCUGGCAGCCUGCUGGCCUGCCCUCUACCCCGUGGCCCCUGGACCUCGUGGCCCUCAGGGUAGGGAAGGUAGAAGCAGCCUUUCUCUCUCAGACAGACUCCGACAUCCGGGCGCUCUUUCUGGGCAUCGACGGCCUGUGUAGGAAGUACUCCAUGGAGACCUCCCAGGUUUCAGAAUUUCAGGAAAAGCACAGGAGGAGACUGC
rnacentral:lncRNA from 1 species